rnacentral:rRNA from 1 species
GGCCUAACACAUGCAAGUCGAGGGGUAACAGGGAAGAGCUUGCUCUUUCGCUGACGACCGGCGCACGGGUGCGUAACGCGUAUACAACCUACCUUUUGGAGGGGAAUAGCCCAGGGAAACUUGGAUUAAUGCCCCAUAGUAUGGGAAUAUCUCCUGAUAUUUUCAUUAAACAUUUAUGGCCAUUAGAUGGGUAUGCGUCCUAUUAGUUAGUUGGUAAGGUAACGGCUUACCAAGGCAGCGAUAGGUAGGGGUCCUGAGAGGGAGAUCCCCCACACUGGUACUGAGACACGGACCAGACUCCUACGGGAGGCAGCAGUGAGGAAUAUUGGACAAUGGGCGAGAGCCUGAUCCAGCCAUGCCGCGUGCAGGAAGACUGCCCUAUGGGUUGUAAACUGCUUUUACAGAGGAAGAACCACUCCCACGUGUGGGAGUUUGACGGUACUCUGCGAAUAAGGAUCGGCUAACUCCGUGCCAGCAGCCGCGGUAAUACGGAGGAUCCAAGCGUUAUCCGGAAUCAUUGGGUUUAAAGGGUCCGUAGGCGGGCAGUUAAGUCAGUGGUGAAAGUCUUCCGCUCAACGGGAGAACUGCCAUUGAUACUGAUUGUCUUGAGUUAUUAUGAAGUGGUUAGAAUGAGUAGUGUAGCGGUGAAAUGCAUAGAUAUUACUCAGAAUACCGAUUGCGAAGGCAGAUCACUAAUAAUAUACUGACGCUGAUGGACGAAAGCGUAGGUAGCGAACAGGAUUAGAUACCCUGGUAGUCUACGCCGUAAACGAUGGUUACUAGCUGUUCGGCCCGAUUAAGGGCUGAGUGGUUAAGCGAAAGUGAUAAGUAACCCACCUGGGGAGUACGUUCGCAAGAAUGAAACUCAAAGGAAUUGACGGGGGCCCGCACAAGCGGUGGAGCAUGUGGUUUAAUUCGAUGAUACGCGAGGAACCUUACCAGGGCUUAAAUGUAGUCUGACAGGAGUGGAAACACUUUUUUCUUCGGACAGAUUACAAGGUGCUGCAUGGUUGUCGUCAGCUCGUGCCGUGAGGUGUCAGGUUAAGUCCUAUAACGAGCGCAACCCCUGUGGUUAGUUGCCAGCGAGUAAUGUCGGGAACUCUAGCCAGACUGCCGGUGCAAACCGCGAGGAAGGUGGGGAUGACGUCAAAUCAUCACGGCCCUUACGUCCUGGGCCACACACGUGCUACAAUGGUAGGGACAGAGAGCAGCCACUUCGCGAGAAGGAGCGAAUCUACAAACCCUAUCACAGUUCGGAUCGCAGUCUGCAACUCGACUGCGUGAAGCUGGAAUCGCUAGUAAUCGCAUAUCAGCCAUGAUGCGGUGAAUACGUUCCCGGGCCUUGUACACACCGCCCGUCAAGCCAUGGAAGCCGGGGGUACCUGAAGUCGGUCACCGCAAGGAGCCGCCUAGGGUAAAA